rnacentral:rRNA from 1 species
GGUGAUCUGCCCUGCACUUCGGGAUAAGCUUGGGAAACUGGGUCUAAUACCGGAUAGGAGCCAUCUUUAGUGUGGUGGUUGGAAAGUUUUUCGGUUGUAGGAUGAGCUCGCGGCCUAUCAGCUUGUUGGUGGGGUAAUGGCCUACCAAGGCGGCGACGGGUAGCCGGCCUGAGAGGGUGGACGGCCACAUUGGGACUGAGAUACGGCCCAG